AGCUCCAAUAGCGUAUAUUAAAGUUGUUGCAGUUAAAAAGCUCGUAGUUGGAUAUCUGGUGGGAGCAAUGGGUCUCGCGCUUAGCGCGGGUACUUCAAUUGACUCCGGCCAUCCUUGGGGAGAGCCCGUCUGGCAUUAGGUUGUCGGGCGGGGGAUCCCCAUCAUUUACUGUGAAAAAAUUAGAGUGUUCAAAGCAGGCUUAUGCCGCUGAAUAUAUUAGCAUGGAAUAAUAAGAUAGGACUUUGGUACUAUUUUGUUGGUUUGUGCACCAAAGUAAUGAUUAAUAGGAACAGUCGGGGGUAUUCAUAUUCCGUUGUCAGAGGUGAAAUUCUUGGAUUUACGGAAGAUGAACUACUGCGAAAGCAUUUACCAAGGAUGUUUUCAUUAAUCAAGAACGAAA
rnacentral:rRNA from 1 species